rnacentral:sRNA from 1 species
AAGGCUAUGACUCCACCGCCAACCCCACUGUGUCCAACGUGUUCUCCACAGCCGCCUUCCGCUUCGGCCACGCCACGAUCCACCCGCUGGUGAGGAGGCUGGACGCCAGCUUCCAGGAGCACCCCGACCUGCCCGGGCUGUGGCUGCACCAGGCCUUCUUCAGCCCAUGGACACUCCUCCGUGGAGGUUACAAUGAGUGGAGGGAGUUCUGCGGCCUGCCUCGCCUGGAGACCCCCGCUGACCUGAGCACAGCCAUCACCAGCAGGAGCGUGGCCGACAAGAUCCUGGACUUGUACAAGCAUCCUGACAACGUCGAUGUCUGGCUGGGAGGCUUAGCUGAAAACUUCCUCCCCAGGGCUCGGACAGGGCCCCUGUUUGCCUGUCUCAUUGGGAAGCAGAUGAAGGCUCUGCGGGACGGUGACUG